UUCUGGUUAGCUCAGUUGGUAGGGCGUUCCAAUGGAAAUGGAGAGGUCCUUGGUUCGAUACCAGGACCACGAU
rnacentral:tRNA from 1 species